GAUGGUCCCUGAUCUGGUUUUUAGUGGCCAUGAAGUUCAAACAAAAACUUGUUGGAAAAAGAAAUUGAGAGUACAAGCUCCAACUCUUUAUCAAAGGUCAACCAACGGCGUUUUCUUCAGGAAUGCCUGACUCCCCAAGGAAAACCGCUCAAACUUCUGUGGAACAAUUAAAAGCUUUCAGCUGUUCGCCUGUGGUCCUUCAACAGGUGUCUGCGCUUUAUCCGCUAAGCCCCGCCCCCAGAACGUGCGGGCCGCGGGGCGGAGCCUAGGGCGCAGCGCGCUCCCCGUGACCUAGGCCCCCGGGAGUUAGCCAGUGGCGGACUGAGAGCCCACGGAGUCUUUAGAUGGAUUUUAAAAUUGAACACACUUGGGAUGGUUUUCCAGUGAAGCAUGAGCCAGUGUUUGUCAGGCUGAAUCCAGGUGACAGAGGAGUGAUGAUGGAAGUCAGUGCUCCAUUUUUCAAUGAUCCUCCAGCCCCACUAGGAGAACCAGGAAAACCUUUCAAUCAAUUGUGGGAUUAUGAAGUUGUGGAAGCGUUUUUCUUGAAUGACAUAACUGAACAGUAUUUAGAAGUUGAACUUUGUCCCCAUGGACAGCAUUUGGUGCUUUUACUCUCUGGAAGAAGAAAUGUGUGGAAACAAGGACUUGAUCUGUCAUUCAGAGUGUCCAGAGGAGAAACAAAAUGGGAAGGUAGUGCUUCUAUUCCUUGGAGUUAUUUUCCACCAAAUGUGACAAAAUUCAAUUCAUUUGCAAUUCAUGGAUCAAAAGAUGAAAGAAGCUAUGAAGCUCUUUACCCUGUACCUCAACAUGAGCUGCAGCAAGGACAAAAACCUGAUUUGUUAUUGGAUGCUUACUCUGGGUAAAAGUGUGAUUAUGCUGUCGGCUAGCGCAGAGGGAUUUCCUUCAGAGCUGAGUUCCACUGCAGCAUCCAUCGUCUGGAUUACUUCAAGCCUUUCAGUUUUAACACACUGCUUGGAGAAAAGUGGAACCAACCAGAAUCAGACCUGUGGCUAAUAGAGAAACCUGAUGUGUAGGAGUACAGUAGAUGACUGUGUCAAUCAUUUCUUCUCUAUACCCUCUAAUGUAAACCAAUAAUAAUCUCUUUCAAGAUAUCAUGAACACAUUUCAACAAUAAAUAUUUUAUGGAGGUCAGUGAAAAGAGAGUA